rnacentral:rRNA from 9 species
CAAUCAAGUGCCUUAAGGGUGUUCGGUGGAUGCCUUGGCGCUGAGAGGCGAUGAAGGACGUGCUACGCUGCGAUAAGCCGUGGGGAGCUGCGAAGAAGCUUUGAUCCAUGGAUUUCCGAAUGGGGAAACCCACCUUCGAUAGCCGGAACUCCAAGACCUCAGUCGAAAGACUGUGGUGUGGGGUUCGAACAGAAAUGUGAGAUGCCUAAGCCUUUAGAUUUCGAUCGAAGAGGUUUUGGAUUUCCGGUUAUCAAAAGAAGGUAUGAGACUUCUGAAUACAUAGGAGGUUUCAAGCAAACCCAGGGAACUGAAACAUCUAAGUACCUGGAGGAAAGGACAUCAACAGAG